AACGUAGGUGGCAAGCGUUAUCCGGAAUUACUGGGCGUAAAGAGUGUGUAGGCGGUGCUCUAAGUUCGGUGUGAAAUCUCCCGGCUUAACUGGGAGGGUGCGCCGGAAACUGGAGUGCUCGAGCGUGGGAGAGGAAAGCGGAAUUCCUGGUGUAGCGGUGAAAUGCGUAGAUAUCAGGAGGAACACCUGCGGUGUAGACGGCUUUCUGGACCAUUGCUGACGCUGAGACACGAAAGCGUGGGUAGCAAACAGG
rnacentral:rRNA from 1 species